rnacentral:rRNA from 1 species
UACAGAGGUCUCAAGCGUUGUUCGGAUUCAUUGGGCGUAAAGGGUGCGUAGGUGGUGCUGUAAGUCAGGUGUGAAAUCUCGGGGCUCAACCCCGAAACUGCACUUGAUACUGCGGUGCUUGAGGACUGGAGAGGAGACUGGAAUUCAUGGUGUAGCAGUGAAAUGCGUAGAGAUCAUGAGGAAGACCAGUGGCGAAGGCGGGUCUCUGGACAGUUCCUGACACUGAGACACGAAGGCCAGGGGAGCAAACGGG